GUUUAAAACACAAUUUGCCACGAAAAACCAUCGAUUUCAGAAAUUGCGUCCACAUGAACGAGCUAUCAUCAUUCUGCGAUGACGAUGUACGAAACGAAUUUUUCCGAUAAACGAGCUCUCGCCAUAUUCCGUGCAUACGCAACAACUAGACUUGCUAGACACUACACACCGCGAUACUUGAUUGUAUAUUGCGCAACAUGGCUUCAAGGUUGUAAGCCACGAAGUGGUUUCACGUUUGACGAUUAAACUGUGCUUGAAGAGAAGAAAGAACAGAAAUAAGUAUUGUAAAACGUUUGAAAAACGUGUUGAUUUUAGGCGCAUGACAAAAUUCACCUCAAAAAUUUUCUACAUAAAAUAUGGUACAUAAAAUAUGGAGCACUGUCAUUAAUAUCCGAUUACAUGGACGAAGCAGAAACUCUUACUAAUUUCAACGUCUAUAUUUUGUUCUACUAACGAGAGAACAACACAUGUAAAAUGUUUUAUAGCAUAUUUUUUCAACGAAUGAAUGUGUGUGUGUGGAAAAAUUAAGGGAAAAAAAGAAAAAAAGAAAAAAAAAACUACAAUGACUAUGUAUCUUUCACUUCUCGAGGCACCUGUCGCUGAAGUAAUAAAACUAGUUACUUGUGAAAGCAAUUAUGCUAGGUAAAAUUUCUGGAUACGUCAACGUCAACGUCAUCGUCAUCGUCAUCGUCGUGUGUUUUCCUAGACUUAGUUCGUCAUUGUUCACGAGGAUAUUGUACGUUAUGUCGCGUCAAUAACAUCAAUAGCAAAGAAGACAGACGAACGAAAAAAUAACCGGAAGGAAAAUGUGAUUGCGAAAAAAAUUAGGGCCAGAUAUUUUUUAUGAAAAAUCUUUGGAUAAUAAAAUAAGAAAAAGCUGGGAUAUAAA